GGGCUGCGCGCGGGUGACUUUCUACGCAAGGGAAAAUGCUAGUUUAAAGGCCUCUCGACAAUAUUUCGGCGACAGCAGAGCUCCGCCCGCGCGGAGGCUAACCAGGUAAUGUAGCUCUGAUACCAAAUAGAAUUUAGAAGGCUUUAAUUUUAUUAAUCACACACAUCACUAAAAUAUAUAAAUAACCUAAAAGACUAAAUAAUGAAAACUAAAUAGUAAAUAUGAAAAAUCAUAUGGUCAACAUGACCUAUUAUAAUCCUAAUUUGGGAAAUCUUCCUAUUUUUCGGAAGCUGAAUCAUUCUAAUAUUCUAAUUUCAACACUUCACUCCCCCUCAAGCUAGGGCGAAGAUAUCCGACGAGCUCUCAUCUUGACAACAGACGCUUGCCGCAAUAAGGGGCCAUGGACUGCACAGAGGGGCCACAUCUAACCAAUGUGAAAAAAUUCACACGCGCCCGGCACGUGUGGCACACCCAAACACGCGAAUUACGGAAUAGGGUAAACUGAGAACAACACUGGGAAUGAAGCAAAUCAACACGGCCCCCGCACUGGUGAACGUGAGAACAUAUAAUGUUGCUUGUGCUGCGACUGUCUGGGGCUUAGGCUGUGGCUGCGCGCGGGACUUUCUACGUACAAGAAAAUGCUAGGUAAAGGCUCGGAUAAAUAUUUGACGACAAUCAGAGCCGCCGCCGGCGGCGAAGCGGAGAGCUGAUCAAGAUAUUGUAGCUCUGAUACCAAAUGAAAUUUUAAGAAAGGCUUAUUUUAUUAUCACACACACAACUAACCCUCAAUAUAUAAUAUAACCUAAGACUAAAUAAGGAAAACUAAAUAAGUAAAUAUGCAAAAUAUCAAUAGGCAACAUGACCUAAUUUAAAUUCCUAAUUUGUAAUCUCCUAAUUUAUUAAUUAGGAAGUAUCAUUCUAAAUAUCUAUUUUCACAACACUCCCCCAAGCUAGGCGAAGAUAUCGAUCUCUCCAGCUUGACAACAGACAUUGCAGCAAUAAGGGGCCGAUGGCACUGCCCAGAGGGGCCACCAUCUAACCAAUGUGAAAAAUUCAACACGCUCCCGCACGUGUGCACAACCCCAAACAACGCGAAUUACGGAUAUAGGUACGGUUAGAACAACAUGGCUAUAUGAAAAAAUUCAACCCGCCCCCGCAACGUGAAAACGUGGAGCACAGACAAUGGCUGUGCUGUCGACUGUCUGUGAAUGAGGCUGUGGCUGCGCGCGGGUGACUUUCUAACGUCAAGGGAAACUAGUUAAGCCUCGGACAUAUUUCGGCGACCAGCAGAGCCGCCGCCGCGGUCGGAGGCCUAACCAAGAGUAAAUGUAGCCUGAUACCAAAUAAAUUUAGAAAGGCUAAUUUUAUAAUCACACCACACAUCCCCUUCAAUAUAAAUAUAACCAGACUAAAUAAGGAAAAAUAAAUAAGUAGAAUAAUGAACAAUCAAUAUGGGCAACAUGAACCCUAUUAAAAUUCCCCUAAUUUUGGGGGAAUCUUCCUAUUUUAAUUAUGAAGUGAAUCAUUCUAAAGAUAUUCUAUUUCAUUCAACACUUCCCCCUCAAGCGGCGGGAAGAUAUCUACGAGCUACAGCUUGACACAGACGAUUGCAGCAAUAAGGGGCCGAUGGACUGGCACAUAGGUGCCCCAUCUAACCAAUGUUAAAAAAUUCAACAACGCUCCCGCACGUGUGGCCAUGCCAAACCCGCGAAUUACGGAUAUAAUAGGGUAACGUGGAACAAAUAUGGCUUAUAUGAAAAAUCAACACGCCCCCGACGUGUGGCACCGCCAAACAACGCGGAUUAACAACAUGGAACGUGAGACAAGACAUGGCUGUGCUGCGACUGUCUGGGACAUGAGGCUGUGGCUGUGUGCGGGUGCUUUCUUUUUCUACGCAAGGGGAAAUGCUUAGGUUCAGGCUCUGACAAUAUUUCGGCGACAGCAGACCGCUCCGGCGGCGAAAGCUGAAGAGGCUGACCAAGAGUAAAUGUGGCUCUGAUACAAGAAAAUUUAGAAUGACUUAAAUUUUAUUAUCACACACCACCAUCAAUAUAUAAUAUAAACCUAAACGAAAUAAGGAAAACUAAUAUAAAAUACUGAAAAAAUCAUAUGGUCCAGCAUGACCUAUUAAUAAAUUCCGAAAUUUGGGAUCUUUCCUAAUUUAAUUAGAGUGAAUCAUCCUAAUUUCUAAUUUCAUCAACAUUAUGUAUCCUUAUGUUUUGCUCCUUCCUCUUUUUGUGUUCUUGAACUGAUUAAUUUUCCGGUUAUUCUUUGUUGACGCUUCUAAGACCUAUAGAUUUGCCAUCACUUACCUCCAUCCCCCAACUCAAUUAACGUAAUUACAUGAAUGGGUUAUUCAAAAGGAAAGUCGCUACUUAGCCCCUACUACAGUACAAUUGAAUAUUAUAUAUAUUAUUUUUGAUGAUUUUGUAUGUUGAUUGAAGACGGCCAGAAGCCUCACCAGCAGAGUAUGCAAGAGCCAAUAAGGAGCUGCGAAACC
rnacentral:lncRNA from 1 species